rnacentral:rRNA from 1 species
UAGCAUAUCAAUAAGCGGAGGAAAAGAAACCAACAGGGAUUCCCCUAGUAACGGCGAGUGAAGCGGGAACAGCUCAAAUUUGAAAUCUGGCCUUCGGGUCCGAAUUGUAAUUUGCAGAGGAUGCUUUUGGUUAGGUACUUUCCGAGUUCCCUGGAACGGGACGCCUUAGAGGGUGAGAGCCCCGUACGGUUGGAUACCGAGCCUUUGUAAAGCUCCUUCGACGAGUCGAGUAGUUUGGGAAUGCUGCUCUAAAUGGGAGGUAAAUUUCUUCUAAAGCUAAAUACCGGCCAGAGACCGAUAGCGCACAAGUAGAGUGAUCGAAAGAUGAAAAGCACUUUGAAAAGAGGGUUAAAUAGCACGUGAAAUUGUUGAAAGGGAAGCGUUUAUGACCAGACUUUUUCCAGGCGAAUCAUCCGGUGUUCUCGCCGGUGCACUUCGUCUGGUUGAGGCCAGCAUCGGUUUCCGUGGGGGGAUAAAAGCGGUGGGAAUGUGACUCCUCCGGGAGUGUUAUAGCCCGCCGUAUAAUACCUCCAUGGGGACCGAGGUUCGCGCAUUGCAAGGAUGCUGGCGUAAUGGUCAUCAACGACCCGUCUUGAAACACGGACCAAGGAGUCGAACAUUUGUGCAAGUGUUUGGGUGUUAAACCCUCACGCGUAAUGAAAGUGAACGGAGGUGAGAGCCCUUACGGGUGCAUCAUCGACCGAUCCUGAUGUUUUCGGAUGGAUUUGAGUAAGAGCAUAACUGUUCGGACCCGAAAGAUGGUGAACUAUGCGUGGAUAGGGUGAAGCCAGAGGAAACUCUGGUGGAGGCUCGCAGCGGUUCUGACGUGCAAAUCGAUCGUCAAAUCUGCGCAUGGGGGCGAAAGACUAAUCGAACCAUCUAGUAGCUGGUUACCGCCGAA